UUUAUUCACUUGGCAUUACUUUGUUACCUAGAGCACAUUAAACUGGGGUAUUUGGUCUGAGCUACUCUUCUAGUGGCAUCCCUCAAAUGUCAAGAUCUAAGAAAGAAACUUGAAAAGCAUC